rnacentral:rRNA from 1 species
UACGAAGGGGGCUAGCGUUGCUCGGAAUUAUUGGGCGUAAAGGGCGCGUAGGUGGUUAGAGCAGUUGACUGUGAAAGACCCGGGCUUAACCUGGGAAGGGCAGUCAAGACGCUAAGACUCGAGUCAAGUAGAGGGAAGUGGAAUUUCCGGUGUAGCGGUGAAAUGCGUAGAUAUCGGAAGGAACACCAGUGGCGAAGGCGGCUUCCUGGACUUAGACUGACACUGAGGCGCGAAAGCGUGGGGAGCAAACAG